rnacentral:misc_RNA from 1 species
GUUAUCCGCGGCAGCCAUCGUCACCCACUGCAAUGAAAACUGGUCCAGAGUUUAAAUCUCACCUUGGGACACUGUAUGUACACGAGCUCCUAUAUACGUCUGUGAUUCUCACAUCUCACAUCCCAAUGCCAUAUGUGAUAAGAGGAAACUGUUGACUAACACUGUGUACACAAAGAAAGGCGAACACAUGACCUCGUCACUCUUCUCGUCUGAGCGCCCUUAACCUUCUAUUAUGCCAAAUUGUUUGUCAUCGACACUGAACCAAUCACCUGUCUUGCGACACCUCCAGAGAGACUAGACUUGCCUUCCACAACUCGCAAGGAAAACUGUCAAAGAAAAUGGAAAAAACAGAAGAGAAGGAGGUUCAGUGGAAAGAUUUGCAGUACAUUGACAAGUGUACUAAAACCAGAUUUGACAGCAGUUGAAGUGAACACCUUCUACAACGAAUGGGCAAGCAGCGGUACGUAUGAACAGAUUCUGACACCAACGGUAUGGCUGCCCACUGGUGCUGCGACAAGCCCUGGUUGACCUCUACCCAGCCAACAGGGAGGCUGUCAGGGUCUUGGAAAUUGGAGCGGGAACAGGACUUGCAGGAAAGCUGCUAUACGACGUCGGGUUCACAAACCUGGAUGCCCUAGAUCCUGCCGUGGAAAUGCUGGAUGUUGCAAGGAAGAAGGGUAUCUACCGACAAUUCUUUAAUGUGGCCCUCACUGCCGAGCCCGUUGACCUACCAGCUGAUACAUAUGACGCUGUAGUACUGGUAGGAGUGAUUUUAUAUGGACAUUUGCCUUGCGAUGCCUUUUUGGAGAUGACAAGACUCGUAAAAUCAGGAGGAUACAUCGUCAACUGCAUGCGAGCCGACUACCUCCAAGAUAUCCCGGAGUACGCCGAGCGCUGGGAAACACUAAUGACCCGCAUGAUCCAAGAAAACACGUGGAAGGUCGUCAAAUAUGAAAAGUACCCCAACCAUUUUCUGGGCAGGGAUGGUCUGCUCAUGGUUUUUCAAGUUAACAAGUGAACUUGCGUGGAAAAAUCCUCGACGAUUAAAGCAAACAUCUCGAGAAAAUUUAAUAUACUAGCUUAAUUUGACCAUAACCAAAAGGAGAAAAAAAAGAUGUAGUUUAUGAUUAUCCAUCAUGGUGUUCACGGUUGUGGCUUAGUAUACUAAACUUAUAAAGUUCCUUUCUUGUGUUACUGAAAUGAGACCUCACGGCAUGAGGCACCUUGUGUAAAGAACUCUUAUACCUGUACAUGCAGGUUUCGCCAGAAACUAUAUGAUAUGAAUGACAAUAACCACGAAAACUUACUGUGAGAUAAAUACUAGUGUAGUGCUAUUUUCUGUCUUUUAGUUGGAAUAUUGUAUUUAUUUGCGAUAAAAAAAAAUUUAUAUACAUAUAUAUAAGGCAGAAAAAAAUGUCUGUUGCAAGGUAAAAUCUGUUGUCCUCCAUCAAAGUAUUAAAAGAAUAUUGCUGAAUACCAUUUAUAACCUAAUAAAUAUUAUGUCUGUAUAAUUUUA